GAUUUUUUUAGAAAUUUUUGCAUAAAAAAAAUUCUUUUCAAAUUUCUUCUUUUGCGGUCUCGUGUAAUCCAACAAUAAUUUCCAACAAAAACAACUACAAUGAUUACACACGGAACAAAUAAUGAAAUGAAAUGUUUAUUUACUAAAAAAUAAGAAGAAAAAACUAAAAAUUGCUGUGUUGCGGACUUGAAUAAUUUCCAACAGAAGUACGGUAUGAUUGAGCAAAAACGAAAAGAUUAUAAAAAAUUAUAAAAAAAAAAAAAAAAAUUAUAAAAAAAAAAACAUGAAAUGAAAUGAAAUUUAUGAUAAAAAUUUCCUAUAGUAAUAAAAGUUUGAUAUGGAGCAAAACAACAACCAAACUAAAAAUCAAAUAAUAACAACAAAAACAGUAACAACAGCAAAAGCAACAGCAACAGCACUAUUGUGAUAUUUAAAAUGGUUUGAAUGAAAAUUGGAUUGCGAUUGUGUGUGCAACAAAAAAAAAAAAACGAAAAAACGUAACAAAAGCAAAGCAAACUAAAAGGAAAAAUAAAGCAAGAAAAUUUCAUGCUCUAAACUAUAAAUUGCAAUAAUUUGCAAAAAUUUUUAAGUGUGCGGCACACAGACAUCGAGCGAAAUGGUGUUUAAAACACAUUUACCCACAUAAAUAGUUUUAAGUUCAAUUUGCGGUUUAAUACACUCCAACCUACUCACUCAGCAAUAUGUCAACAAGCGAACAAGAAACAAAAUUUUACUAAAAUUACCUAAUAAUAGGAAAAUAAACCAAAAAAAAAAAAAAAAAGAAAGGAAAAAAAAAGAAAUAUUUACAUUUAAUUCUAAAACAAUUAUUUGGUAUUAAAAAAAAAAGUUCAAAAAUGUUAUGAUUUAAUAACUUAUUGAAUCAAAUUUCAAAACUGUAAGCGCUUGUUAUGCCAACAAUUGAAAACAAAAAUUUGCUUAGAUCUUUGACAAGUUAAGCUACAGGAAAAAAUUGUAGUUGCCCUUCUACAUCCCAAUAUUUUUAAAUUCUGCAGAAAAUUGAAACAUAUCAACGCGAAAGAAAGGAAUUUCUUUGGUGGCCUUUUAUUAAAGCCAUAGAA